AGGAAAUGAAUGAGGCCUUAGAGGCGUCUAUGUUAAAAUAUUACAGACUUCCGAGAGCUUUCAGGAGUUUGCCGCCCCUUAGAAUAGAGGGCAUUGAGGGUGUGUGCGGGCGGAGUGGCCGGGCCAUGCCAGUGUUUGCUGUCAGGCUAAGUGGCUUCCGGGGCUGGGGUGGGACCCUUACUUAGACUCAUUCCAACAUUAGUUGAUUGGCUGGUUGGUUGGUUCAUUCAUUCUUUCAUUCAUUCAGUACGAGCAACAUUUACUGAAGGGCAGGCCCUACACAGGAGCUGGAGAUAGACUAAAGGGAACUCUGCCCUUGCUCCUUUCAGUGAUUCAGCAGAUAAUUGUGCAUCUAUAGGUGCCAGGCGCUGUUCUUGUCGCUGGGGAUGCAGCCCCCUCCGGACUGGGACCUACUGUCCAAUGAAGGGAAAUGGAGGAAACCCAAGUCCCCAAGUAGACUGUGAUACCCGUCUGAGGGAGCAAGUGCUAAGAAGAGUGGGGCAAAGGAAGGGUGGAUGGUAAUGAGGUGAGGGGACCUUGCUUUCUGGAGGGUGACAGCUGUGACCGUACAAUGUGACCAGGAUGAUGAAAGCUUCCAUACUGUAAAUGUGGGAGGGACUCUUAGGGAGAGGGAGUCAGGAAGGCAUCCUGAGGGAGGGAAGGAUGGGGAGAAGGGGAGUGGAGUAGGCAAAUGGCCCCUCCCUAAAGAUGUCCAUGUCCUAGUCUCUGGAACCUGUGAAUAUAUUUCGUUACACAGCAAAGAAUAAUUAAGGUUGCCAAAGGAAUUACAGUUACUAAUCAACUGACUUUAAAAGAGGGAGAUUACCCUGAAUUAUCUGGGUGGGCCCAAUGUAAUCAUGAUGGUCCUUAAAAGUGGAAGAGGGAGACAGGAGAGUCAGAGAAAGAGAUGUGAUGACACAAAUGCUGUGUUGCUGCUUUGGAAGAUGGAGGAAGGGGCCACAGACAAAGGCAUGUGGGUGGCCUCUAGAAGCUGGAAAAGUCAAGGAAACAGAUUCUCCCCCAGAACCUCCAGAAGGAACACGGCCCAGCUGACGGCUUGAUUUUAGACCCAUGUUGGACUUCAAACCAACGGAACCGGAGCAUCAGUCAGGUGGAUUCUGCCAGGACUGGCCUGGUGGCUCAGAGGAAAACUGAGGCCUGGACAGUGGAGGAAUGGGGCCCUGGGCCAAAUUGUCGUAAAUGGAAACCGAAGCUCGGGCCCUGACAGUGAUCUACUUAGACUGCAAGUGGCAAGACAUGCUGGCUCCAGGCCCUCGUCCCCACUCAGUCUUCUCACCCAGCCAUUGUCACCCCCCACCCCGCCUUCCUUCCCACACACAGCCAGGUAGGGGGACAGCUAGGUGCCAGGCCCUGAGCACUGCUUCUGAGCCACAGACCCAGGUUCUGAGCUGGCUGUGCUGCUGACUUGCUCUGUGGCCACAGACGAAGAAAGGACAGUCCCUUUCUGAGCCUUCUUGCCUGUAAAAUGGGAGUUACAUGAGUCCCAAGCAAGAGAAGGGACUUGCGAGUGUAUUGUUGAUGGGACCACACAGUCCCCGCAGGCAGGAGUUUCAUGGAAACAUUAUAACAGGAGCUUUGGGGGGUGGUGACUGGCCUUGUCACCUGACCUGGAAUGAGUCUAAUGAUGCCUAGAUGACUCUAAUGAUGACCCCCCUGAGCCUGCGGCGCAGCCCCGCCCAUCAGCUGAGCGUCCUCCAUUGGAGGAAGGGGGUCGGGGAAGGUCAGGAGCUCCAUUCAGGGCUGGUGGCAAAACAAAGUUACAGAGAUGAAAGCUUGCAGAGGCAAAGACCCUCAUCCAAGGUCACUCAAAGCCAGGAACGAACUCCAGAGCCCUUUGGAGAGGUUCUGGUGUAUGUGUGUGUGUGUGUGUGUGUGUGUGUGUGUGUGUGUGUGUGUGCAGUUGGGGAGCCUUGGGGGAUGGAUAGAGAGCAGCAGAUUUGGCCCCCGAGCCUGACCCAACCCCCGGACCCCUCCCUCAGCGACUAGCCAUCCUCCCAACCAGGACCCAAAGCCACAGGAACUGCGCUCUGGGGACUGUUUUAAUCCCACCUGGCUGUGACGUGGCUCUGCCCAGUGCCGGCUCCCUGUGCUGCUCUCCUGCCAUCAGCCAGAGAUACGACCCCCACAAAGCCCACAUCCAAGGCCCGCUUUGUGCCGAGCACUGGGUUCUGUGCUUUGCAAGCACUCAGGUAGGUGGUUCAUUCUCCCCAUUCACAGAUGCGGUCAUGUCACUUGGCUGGGGCCUGAGGAAUCCCUGGGGAUGGGGCUGCUGGCAGCUCUCAGCUCUGCUGAAUGGACGAGAUCUUUGCAGAUACGCCCAGUGUUGCCAUGGCAGCCCUGCAAUUAAUGAGCAUUUAUAAAACAGGAUUUCAUUGACUAAAACUGGCUUUUUUAUGCAACUUCUCAGGCAGUGUGUAAAGGCCCAAGUAUGGGUGGUGAGGCCGGGAUCCUGAGCCACGGGAGGGCCAGGGUGUCCUGUAUUUCUGACCCCGUAGACACUCAGGCCAAGUGCCCCCUGCCCAGCCUGACUGAGGGUCUGCUGCCUCAGCUAGGGCCUGGACUAUUCUUGCUGGAAGGACUCCUGGACACCCCAGUGUCUGAGGGGGUAGGACCCUGAGGGACAUUCAGGACAGGUUAGAGGCAAGGAAGCCUGUGUGGAGCAAUGCCCCAAGGGGCUUCCCUGGAGGUCCAGUGGUUAAGACUCUGUGCCUGCAAUGCAGGGAGCAUGGGUUCGAUCCCUGAUCCGGGAACUAAGAUCCCACAUGCUGUGCGGCACGGCCAAAAAAUCCCCCCAAAAAAUGUGGUAUUCAAAUUCCUUCUUCUCAGCCUGGAGCCUCGCCUUGAUCCUGAGAUAAGCCCAGUCCCCACCCCUCUGCCCCCCAGUCCCACAGCAACUUCCCGCACCCACAGGACCUGUAAUCACCAUACAGGGACUGACUCAGCCCUUCCUUCCCCGCCCAGUCUCUUCUUCCUGAAAAUCACCCACGUCAGCAGCCCCAGCCCCCAAAGGCCCUGGGGGAUAGAGCCCGAGGCCCCCUUUUCCGAGGUUAGCCUGGAAGAACGGAGGAACUGAGCCGGAGGGGUAGGACUCCCAGGCCGGAGCCAGCUCUCCUCGGCCCCGCCCACCCGGGGACCUAGGGAGGCAGGUGGGAUGAGGGGACCAGGAGUCUGGGGACAGGUCUGAGAGCAGGGAGUCAAAAGGGAAGGGUGGUGAUACUCUUGGGGGCGUCUAGGGGGCAGUGUGAGGAGACAAGGUCUCUGGAAGGGCCUCAGCCCCCGCCACCCCGAUCCCCUGCCACAGGGAGACAGGGAGCAGGGCCAGAGCUCCGUCCACCCCUAGGAAGCCUCCUCCGCACAGCCUGAGCUCAGCCUGCAGGGCUCCGUGGCCUGAGCCAACCCCAGGCCUGGUUUGGAUUUUUCCUUGAUUGUUUCUUGUUUCCUUCCUCCCCUGGGCUCCUGCCAACUCCAGCCCUGCGCUCCUCACUUUUCACUUGCCUUCAUAGAACUCUGACCUGGCAGAGGCUGGGAUUCGAGAUGAGAGUCCCUUCGAAGCUACCGCCAGCUUCUGCCUCUGCCUUGGACCCCUCCUUGGGAGCUGGGUGGCAGGGCCUUACUGGGGGACUUUCCUUUGGGUCCGGAUUUUUGGCCCCAGGCCCAGGGCCAUGGGGGUUUCCGGAGUGGUGACAGCCCUGUCCUAGCAGGGACUGAGGCACUUCCUCCCGGAGGCCUCUGGGAACAUCCAAGCCACAUGGCUGUCUUUUGGCCUGGGGAACACAGAGUUAGCAGGCGUUGUUUUCAACACUUCCCACCCCUUCAAGGCACCCUGUCAUUAUUCAUUUUGAAAACUCAUUUGCAUCUACCUUGUGCCUAGAGCUGUGCUGACUGGAGAAGACACAGAGGGUCAAGGCUGGGCCCAGCCCUCAGAGAACAGAUACCCUGAGUAAAACAGAUAACCAAUUCUAAACAGCACAUUCUGCGCCAUAACGGAGGUCCUUGACAGCAGAGGCCAGUUCUGAUUUACCUCUUUCUAUCCCAGGCAGCAUAGACGAGGCUCAGUGAGCGACUAUGGAUUGAGUGAAGAACCAAAAAGAACAGCAGUAAGAAGGAUUUGUUCUGCUAGAGGUGGGGAAACAGAUGGAAGAGUUAGGAAGGCUUCAAGAGGAGGUGAUAUUUGAGCAGGGUAUUAAUGGAUGAGUAGGAAUUUGCCAGGCAGAGAAAGGAAAGGAUAUUUCAGGGGGAGCAGGGAGAGGCAAAGGCAAAGGCCAGAAGGAGUGCAAGUAGAUGCAUGGUGUGAGCGGGAAACAGGAUAGAUGUGUCCAGCAGACCACGGCAUAGGAGAGGGGAAAGACCAGGAGGGUAGCUGGCGAGCACCAUUAUCCUUGCCCAGCUCCCAUUCCUCUUAUUCUGCUGACCACCCCUCAAUUUUCCAGAGUCUCCAGUAUGAUUGACCUUGCCUCCAAGCUCUAAAAGUGGGUCUGAGGCCCCAGCCUACCCAAUCUGAGUCAUAGGGAUGGUUUAGGGAUGGGCAUGUCAGCAGUGGGCUUCAGCCUGGGAACUUGUGGUGACUAUUAGGGUGACAGAUGCCAAGAUGUCAACUCAGGGCUGUCAACUCACGGAAGAGCUUGUCCAAGAAUAAAGCCAGCACAGAGGAAAGCAGAGCCCAGAGAAUGACUCUCAAUAACAUUGUUCGUGCUUCUGGAUCCAGCCAUGCCUGAAUCAGACAUCCAUUACAUGAAGCAACAACUUACAAUUUUUGUUUAGUCCUGUUGGAAUUGGGUUUCUGUCACUUGCCCAUUAAAGAAUAAUUAAAAGCAGACAAUAGCUCACGAGAGCAGCCGAAUGCUGUGGGAGGGAAGCAAGGAUCUGUGCAGAAGUGCAACAUGACCAGAAUUGCAUUUUUUUAAUUUAAACUAUCUUGUUGACAUGGUAAUGCUUUCGUGUGGUUCACAAUUUAGAAAUCACAGCAGGCUGAAGAGCCCACGUGCCACAUUGAAAGAUCCCGCAUGUCGUGACGAGGAUCCCGCGUGCUGCAACUAAAGACCCGAAGCUGCCAAAUAAAUAAAUAAAUAAAAAUAUAAAAGAAGAAAUCACAAGAGGCAAAACGUCUCCCUCUUACCCCUGUUCCCCAGGUACCAGUUCUCCUCUCCACAAACAACCAGCGUUAUCAGUUUCUUGUAAACACUUCUAGAGAUACUCUUUGCACAUGCAAGCAAAGCCCCGUCCGUUUAUUUUUUACACAAAUGGCAAUAUUUAGACAAGUAGAGCCCCAAAGUACAGCAGACCUUGGUGGGAGCAGGGGGAGGACAGGCCCCACUGCCGGGGGCGAUGGGGGAGAUUCUGCAGGAGCCAUGGGAAGCCACAAUUUAUUGAGCCUCUGCUAUUCACAUUGUCCGGCACCUUCCUUUCUUCAGUUGACAUUAUAUCUAUGACCACUUCAUGUCAGUUCAUAGAGUAUAUCGUCAGUUUCAUUUUCUCACAGCUGCACAGUAUUUCACAUGGGGUGUACCAUAAUUUAUGCAAAUUAUGGCCUCUCCAGCCUCAAGCCCCCUCUCCACUCCCUCUGUUCUGGACAAGGGCCUUUCAGCCCAUCAGCCACCCCCAUGGCCUCAGUUGACGGACGUUUAGGUUGUCCCCAGCCCUUUCCUGUGACAAGCAGUGCUGCCAUCUUGCACAGAUGCUGUUACACACUCGUGUGAGCACAGCUGAAGAAUAAGUUCAUAGGGACUUGGGGGUCACAGGACACUCUCUGUUGUCAUUUGGUCAGCUCUGUCCACUUGUCUUUCUCAGGUGAUGUGCCAGGUCCAGGCCCCCAUAGGGACCACAGGGCCCAUUUCUCCUCAGCCUCACUGGCAACUGGUUCUCAGCCUUUUUGAUUUGUGUCACUCUGGUAGGUAAACACUAACUAAAGACAAAGGAGCCUCAGUGUGGUUUUAAUCUGUGUUUCUCUUGUAAGUGAGUUUGGCCAUUUUUCAUAGGCUUCAGGGCCAUUUCUAUUUCCUUUUCCAUGAACUGGAAAAGGAAUUAGAGAAUUAUGCUUAAGAGGAUCGAUUCAGAGAAGGGGACGUGGAGGGAGGCCUGACUGGAGGCAGGUGCCACUUUGCGGGGGAUGGAUCAGGAGAGAGACGGAACUUGGCUCUGAGCUGUGGUGUGAAAGACGGCGCUGGAGAUGAUGAGGUCGAAAGAUUGGAAUUUGGUGACAGAUGGGCCACAGGGGCCAGGGAGGAAGGACCGGGGUCAGGCCGGUCCAGCGUGGUGACUUGGGUGAUGAGAGGGGCCAGGGAGGAAAGGGAGGACAGUGGGGCCACCAAGGGAGAUGGAGGAUCCCAGCAGGGGCCCUGCCCACUCUCCACCCCACAUCGUGACUGAUGCAAAACACCAACCUGACGGCCACACGCCCCUGCUCACAUGCUUCAGUGGCCACAAACCCUGGUCAGGGACCCUGCUGGCCUCCAGCCUCAAGCCACCUCUCGGCUCCCUCUUCUCUGGCCUUGAGCACACCCAGCCUCCAGGACGGGCUCCUUACACGGCUCCUCCCUUCACCGGCCGCCUCCUGCGAUUCCUGCAGGUCUCAGCCAUGGUAUCUCCCCUCGGGGAAGCAUUCUGGACCCCAAUCGAU